rnacentral:rRNA from 1 species
CCUACGGGAGGCUGCAGUGAGGAAUAUUGGUCAAUGGACGAGAGUCUGAACCAGCCAAGUAGCGUGAAGGAUGACUGCCCUAUGGGUUGUAAACUUCUUUUAUAUGGGAAUAAAACGUUCCACGUGUGGGAUUUUGUAUGUACCAUAUGAAUAAGGAUCGGCUAACUCCGUGCCAGCAGCCGCGGUAAUACGGAGGAUCCGAGCGUUAUCCGGAUUUAUUGGGUUUAAAGGGAGCGUAGGGGGAUUGUUAAGUCAGUUGUGAAAGUUUGCGGCUCAACCGUAAAAUUGCAGUUGAAACUGGCAGUCUUGAGUACAGUAGAGGUGGGCGGAAUGCGUGGUGUAGCGGUGAAAUGCUUAGAUAUCACGAAGAACUCCGAUUGCGAAGGCAGUUCACUGGACUGCAACUGACACUGAGGCUCGAAAGUGUGGGUAUCAAACAGGAUUAGAUACCCCGGUAGUC